CAUACGUGUGUAUUUAUUUAUGCAUUACACACACAUUCAUGUGACAAUAUGUACACUAUGAAAAUGCACACAUGUAGCAAUUUUGAAACAAGAUUUAAAAAUGUAAAUAGCAUUUCUGUCACUUUCUUUCUGUGACAAUCGUGCCUCCCUUCUGUGUGGACAGCAUUAUGUAGCCAGGGCUUUAGAGCCAGAUCCCCUGUGUGCAGAUCGAGGGCUUCGUUCUGUCUCUGUGUGGCUUUAGGCCAGCUCUGGGACCCAGGCUCUCCCCCCCCCCCCGUACCCCAGGAGCUGGGUCAUCAUUCCCACUUGCCUGAGGUAUGGUGGGGGUGACAGGUACCAGUUUAUGGGUGAGGACUCCACAGGUGGGGAGAGCUCUUAUGGGGUAACCAUGGUGAUUGUCACCAAGAUCUGGUUCAUCCUUCCUGGCUAUCAGUGAAACUACAGGCCUGCAGGCUUAUGUUCUGAGCUGUUACCAGAGAUUGUCAGGCCAUGGCUGAGCAUAAACCUGUGACCAGGUCACAGUUCCCCUUUGCCGGGCCCAAGGCCUGCAGCGUGGAUACAGACAGAGGGGCCUGUGCUCGUUGAAGGAAGGCUGGCCCUAGCAUCACUCAGGACAGAGCGGACAAGCUGGUCAGAUUCCAGCUUUCUCUGUGCUCCUUUGGAAGUCCCUAAAAUGUCAGUUUGGGUUCAUGGGCUGGUUACGGUUCUGAUUCCUCCUAACUCCGUAAGGCAAGGCCAUGAAUUAUACAGCGCUGGAGCAGACGGCGCUAAGUAAGGCUGCAUUGCAAGCUGGGCUUAAUAAGGACACUCUGGCUAUUUUUGGAAGGCAUUUGCAAGUCCGAAAUAUGGUGUGUGGAACUCUGAUGUCGACUUCAAAUCCUGCCGCUUUCAGCUGGGUCAGCACUAUUUUCUGUCACUUCCUGUCAACAAGCAACGAGGAGGGGCCGCAGUACUUCAUUUGGCUUUGUUUUUAAUUUUUAACUUUUUGGUGAUAGCACAAAUGGUCCAAUGUGCCUGCCUCCUCCCACCCGGGGCCCUGUCAUCUCAAUAUAUAGCCUCAUGGACUCAAAGGGUAGGGACAGACAUUCCCCAGCUGCAGAAUCAGGAAGAGCUCUGUCCAAUGGUUCUGUGCCACAGGGGGCAAAGAUAAAAGCUUUUUGUUUUGUUUCUUAGGUUUGCAUCAGGGUUUUGUAUGGCCCUCACCUGCAGGUGUCUAUGACACAGUUGUACCAUGUGUCAGGAAUCUCAUUCAAAAAAGGUGAAGGAGCUGAGACCAAGUCUUUACGGUCCUCCAAAAACAGUACCUAGCAUUUAGUUUGAAAUUGCACCAGGAAAAAAGUAAAAGUUGAUAAGCUGCAUCUCCUACAAAUGCUACCAGGUGGGCGACCCGAUAAGCCCAGGUGGCACCUUUGGGGCUUCUGGAGAAUGGGCUGUAUCACCGAGCUGGUGCUGGGUCCGGGUGAUGUGGGGGGUCACACUGGGACUUCUUUUUGUGGGUCUAGAUGGGGGUCUGUUGACAAAUAGAGGAUUUAAAGCACUAAUCAAGCAAGCAGCAAGCCUCAAGAGGCUCAGAGACUUGGAAGCAGGAGCAGCAAGAGGCCUCUACAAGCCUCCUCUGUGGCCACUGUUGACAGUACAGGUUUGUGGUCUGCCUAACUCACUUCCUGGGCCACAUCUCUGUGUACACCAGAUGUGUCCUUGGGACUCGUAAGUGCAAACACAACCCAACACUGCAGGAUCAAUGGUGGGCACAGAGUGCUUUGAAUGCGACCCCCAUGCAGGCUGGACGUGGGUCUCUCUCCAAGGUGUGCUAUUGUCCAUGGGUUCUUCCUUUCUCACUUUUCAAACUUGACAAAGACUUCUGGUUCUCUGACUUCCUCUCCCACUGCAAUUUGAGCCAGAAGAGGAGCAGGGAACACGGCUCCUUCCCCCGCCUCACCGCUCUGUGGCCCUUUCCUCUCCUGCCCCUGGUUGUCUGUAUCUGAUCUCCACAGCACAGCAGUGACUCCACCUCUCUUCUAAGCCACACUCUCUGCCUCAGCUCCUUCAGAGCUACGCCAGGUGAUUCUAUAGGUAAGCACUUAGUACUGAGAACAGUUUUUGCAAACUGACAGCUUUAACUUUCUAGAACUUGAAUCUACUAGGAGUACCGAACGUUUAUUUUGAAAUGAAAAAGGUUGACUUUUUGUCUUUCUCUUUGCAUUUUUGGUAAGAAAGUCCUCAUCUUUUCUGAGGCCAAGACACUUAUAUCUGGAUAUACACGGGUGCAGAGAGCGUUAUCACCGUUUAGUGCCAUUGAUAAACACUCCUGGCUCCCUGGGUCUCCUUGAGUUUUUGCACAGGCCCCAGAAGAAUCAGUUUUGGAAUUAGGGUCCCCAAAUCCUUAUUCUAGUACUGCCAUGAUUUAAGGAAGUCUUUGGAGCCUCGCUUUCCUCAUUUGUAAACUGUGGGGAGCAACGAUAGUCUCUCAGUGUCACUUCGGGUUCAAGGGAGACAAAACAUGAGAGUGAUCUGCAAAGCACAAUGUGCUGUAUGAACUGCAUUACUUUCCAGCUUUCCUCAGAUUUAAACGUGUCCUCUGCGAACCCCAGCCAGGGCUUCCCUUUCGGGGGCCCAUCGCCUUGUGCUCGGGGUUGUGCAAAUACCGUGUUAUGUUGAAUUUAGUUUCUAAUUUUGCUCUGGAUAGAUGAGUGGAUUCUUAGCAAGCACUCAAUAAGUUGGGGAAGGGAAAGCGAGCCAUUCACAGUUUUGGCCCCCUCCUCUUGGGGGAUGUGUGACAAUCUGGACACAAUUUGGUUGUUAUAACUUGGGGUACUUCAAGUAUCCAGUGAGUAGUACCCCACAAUGCUGCUAAAUACCCCACAGUGCACAAGACUGCCCCACAACAGAGACAUGUCCAGCUGCGAAUGUCAGCAGCACCCUGUCUAGGAACCCUGCAGCAGACUUUCUUUCUAAACAACUCCAAGUCAUAAAUCUUAUGUGUUUGGAAUUGGAAGGCAAUCUGUGCAACCUCAGUGAAAACUGUACUCCGGGUUUAGAAAUGUUUGAAAACUUCUUGAUUAUUAUUAAAGAAAGGAACAAGAUCAGGAAGAUGGUGGCUAAAUAAAAAAGGAAGAUUCUGACAAUUUUCCUACUGGGGGUAGAAGAAGAGAGAAAUUUGCGAAACCCCAAACUGAAGGGAUGAAAGUGUGGGGAUCAAGCAGGGUAGGGCUGGGGCUGGGGCUGGGCUGGGCUGGGAGCCCCCAGGGAUGGUGCAGGAGGUCAGCCCAGUUGCUUCCGACCUCCUUCCUGCAGAGGCAGUGUCUUCCCCACCUGUUGAAGUGCGGGCAUGGGCCUUUUCAGGGUCACUGAAAUGUGAGCUGAGGUGACACCCCCUUGGAGUAGACACUUUCACAGUGAAUGUGUGCUUCUGCUGUUUGCCAUACGGUCACUUAGUCAGUCUGGGUCAUAAGAUGAGUCAACAGCCACACAGAGCAUGACCUGUAGCUGCCAUAAAGCUGGGGAAAGAAACAAAUACCAGAUGCCUCGAAUGCCUGCUGUUGAGUGAUGGUACUAUUUGUUACUGCCUCCUAGCUUAGCAUAUCCUGACUAGUGCACUGUAGUAAGCCUGAUUUAGGAAGGGCACGAACCUGCCUUUUUAUCCUCGUGUGUUGACUUGCAUGGAGAUGAUGGGAGGUCUUGCCUGAUGGAACUGGUGUAGGGCACAGUGGCUCCUCAUCUGUCCAUCUGGGCUCUCAUAACUUGAAGGGCCAGUGGCCAGAGUAGAAAGAGCCACCGAAAGCAAAGCAAACCUCAAACCCCUCUCCUUGCUGGUAAGUGCCAUCUCUAGAAAGAUAAAAUGGCUCUAAUUUUUAGUCACCACAAAUGUCACUAUUAUCACAGAUGACAUUAAUUUUAAAGAGAAAUGGAAGAAAAUAUGUCACAUUUCUGUCAGUGCAUAUGCUUAGUGAGUGAAAAGUUUAUACCAGAUGCCAAUUUAAAGUAAAAACAUACAAAUAUUUCAUUGUUUGUAUGGAUGUAUAUGUUUCGGUGUGUACGGUUUGUGUCUAUAUAGGUACAGAGCACUGGGCUCUCAACUGGGAGAAAAUUGCUUGUGGAGAACAUUCUAGAAAUGUGUUUGGUUAUCCCCUGCUGAGGGGUGGGCAGCCCUACUGCAUCUAGGGGGGAGCCCGGGAUGUUACUCAUGUAGAGUGCACAGGACAGUGUAUUAUUUGGUGAUGGCAUCGAUGAGAGUGGGCCAUCCCUGCACAGGUCCACACCUAGAUUAGCUGGUAUGUGUGAGACAUAGAGGAUGGGGACUUUUCUUCAGAGCACUGCCUUGUUCAUUUCCCAUCCCCAUCUUGGCUGCCUCAUUUGAAAGAAACCACGUGUGUCAGCUAGUGGGAGGCCAGCCCGCGUAGCCCUUCUGGGAUACGUUCUCUUGGCUCUCUGUGUUCCCUGAAAACACACACAGAGUCAGGUUCCACUGUCCUGUGGUUGAUGUACACCCCAUGUGCUGUGUGGCACAUCUGGGCUGGGCAGCACCAAGAAAGGGAUUGAACUCAGGACUCGCACUUGCCAGGAAAGCGGAGGCUACCAGGCGAGAGGCACACCGAACCCAGGCUUCCUGACAGUGCCGCCAGCUCUCACAGCCCAGGAGUGGGUCUCGUCACGACAUGCCCGGCGUGGGAAUUCAGAAACUGGAGCCACCAGUCACUCCGCACGCCUAUGAUGAGGAGCCCCUGACUGCAUGUGGCACGCCAAGCUCUUCAUGAGCACUUUCAGUUGCUUCAUGUACUUUUGGAUCUGUGUGGUUUAUGGACCCAGAGUCAAGGAGAGGUUUGUCUGCCAAGCCUGGAGCUCAAUGAAGCUUCCUGAACUGCAAAUAUGAUCACGUGACUCUUAGACGUUUCUUCUCCCUGAACCCCUCUGUGUCAUCUCUCUCUCACUCCAAACUCUUGCUCACCCUGGAACCCUGCCUCAACUUCCCUCUGAUCCUUUUCUCCUUCAGUAGUUAACCCAGUCAACAAACACUGAUGGGGCGCUGUUGCUGCCUGCGGUGUGGUGUGAGAGGUUUCACGGCUUAUGGAAGAACACUGGUCUGGUAGACAAAAGACCAGGGUCCUGCAAGCCCAGGGCUGGGCCUUAGUUUAGCUAUGUAUGAAACAGAAAGAUGAUUGAGGGACUGCAAAACACAGGAGGAAACAUACACAGGAUCCAACAGUAAAGCAGUGUGGGUUUUGGCACAGUCAGGAUGUUGGCUAUGCUGUUCUCUUGACUGAGUCCUUCUAGGGAUACCUGCUAAUCUCAGGGUGGCUUGUUUCACGGUCACAAAACGGCUGCCAGAGAUCUCUGCAACCAUAUGCCUCACAGUGAGGGAGCAAGAAGCAGAGGUAUUUCAGGCAUUAAGAAGUAGUUACUUAGAACCAGGCCUGCUGUGACUGAGCCUGCAUCAUGGGGCCAGAGCUGGAGCAGGAGAGGCUAUGAGGUACCUUGAACAUCGGUCCCGGGGAAGCUUACUUUUGCAUCUAGCAAAGCCCAGGGUUCAGGCUGACUGGUUCACCUUGAGUUACCCAAGUGGCCAUUGAGGCCAUACAGAGAUAGGACAUGCAAAAAGAAGCCAUUUCCACAUUAGCACAAGAGCGGGUAAAGUUACUGAACUUGAAAGUUUGCAGAAGAUGCUGCAGGGCUGGGAGCUAAACUCUGAGGUUGGGGUGUGGGCGGGCUGGGCUGAUGUCCCUGAGGCCCAUGUGCUGUGGUUGCAUCUGCCCCAAAGGGGGUGAACUGGAGUCACCUGUGGCUGCUGGGGGGAAGUGUGGCAGGGGUGCCAGGAACAGGAAGCAGUGGUUUGGAUGCAAUCCCUCCCCCUCUGCCUGCCCACAGUGCUGGCGGGAGGGAGCCUGGCAGGGGAGGAGGGGCAGCAGCCAAUACCCAGGGGUUCACAGGAGGACACGAAGUAGAGAGGCACAGGGCAAUGUGGAGCUGCCCCCCAGGGUGGAUGGUGGCCCCUUGCUUCUGUUCCCUCAAAGCCUCUGUGCAAAUCAGAGGCAGGAGCCGCUCAGGGCAGGGCUACCUGCAGCAGGGUGCUGUUCGGCAAGCCGAGGAGGAUACCCUCUUGCACAGUCAGGUGUGAUGGCCCUACAUCCGUUCAGCUACAAGUACAUUGUGCAUCUGUAACAUGUGGGCAUGUGCCACACAUGUGCACGCAUGCAUAUGCAAGCACACACACCCGUACACAUAUGCACACACACGCAAACGAAAGCACGGUUCUUACAAACUUGGCUCCUAUGUGACCACAGGAGGACAAAUAGGGAUGGUUUGCUUUGACCACACAAGGGAGCAGGCCAUGCUGUUGUCUCACCAUUUCCUGCCCUCUGGGGAUAGGGUUUAGGUGGUAGCCUCUGUCCUUACCACAUGUCUUGCAGCUCUCGGGUAUGGGCCCAUGUCUUCUGAAGGACCUUUGAGGGGGACAGGGUCUGGUGAUCUGGGCAUUUCAGACAGGAGGUGCUGGAGAAGCCUGAAAGGGCUCUUUCAGAUCCCUUCGGGAUAGGUGCUCGGCUGGAAAGUGACCUGGUGAUAAUGCUGGAGACAAUACCAUAGCUGUCUUAGACUAGGUUCUCCAGCCCAGCCUGGGUGUGGUUUGAGCAGUUGGGCCACCUGUGGGAGAUGUCCCCAUGAGGAAGAGAGGAAUCAGGGUGGCCUCACGGACAAGGUGUCCAGCACCACGGCUUUAGCGAAGCCCCAGUGAGGCCCAUCCUGGGAUCUAGAGUUAAGAGACCAUCACAGUGGUCUCCCAACCCAAGGCAGGGCUGGGAACCCACACAUGGACAGUCGGCAGCCAGGGCUACUUGGGAGGAAGUGUGACCUCAGGAUAGGCAGUUUCUAGUGAGGUCAAGCUGUGAGCUUUCAUCCAGGUAGCAGGAGGAUGAAGGGUCAGCCCUGUAGGCAAAUCGAUCUCCACUCCAGUGGUGACAGUGAGGAGCAGGGUGACAACAGUUACCCCACUCUGGUCACUUUACUGAGGUAGAUCCUCUUCUGCAACUGGGUCCUUGUCAGGUCUUCUGUCCCAGUGACCGGUGCUAACACCCUCUGCUCCCCACGUUGCAAUCCAUUAGUAGGACUCACCAGCUCCAUGUCUGAAUUACAUCCUGAAUCUGUCCAUUUCUUUCCACCUUACCUCCAUCUCUAGCCAAGCCAGUGGACCUUCCCUGAUGGACCAUCACAACUUCCCAACUCUCCAUCCGAGCUGUUCUGCCUGCUGUGUUCCACUCCAUAGCUAGAGCAGCUUCCAGCAUACUCCUAAGCAAAGCUCUUUAAUCACGUCUUGUUACACCCAAAAGCAAUGUUCCCACUGCUUACCGUGGACACAAAUCCCCAUGGAAUAAUCAUCCUCGUCUCCUCCAAGCUCCCUUUUUCCUGGCUGGCUGUGCCCUCACUAUACUGCAUCCCUUUCCACUCCUCAAACAGAUCACAAUCAUGCUUGCCCAAGUGCUUGGCAUGAUCUCCCCGGAACCUGAGCCUAGGCUCAUGGCCACCUUCCCAGGGAGGUCUGCUGGGUCCCUCUAGCUCAGUUCUCAUAGGGACAACAGUCCAAGCUGGAUUCCAAGCGGUGCCUCCCUCGUGCAGGCUGGGGUUGUGUGUUGUUCAAAGCUGCCUCUACACAGUGUAGCCUGGCCGGGGGUGUCUGUGUUGGAGAAAUUUCUCCACAUAAAUUAUCUGCAAGGUCCCAGGGCCUGGGAGCCUAGGUUGUCCUGACUAUGGUGCAUCCCAGCUGGAUCUCAACCAGAGGAAACUCAGGAGGGCAGGACUUACGUCUCCAUCUUCUAAGUGAGUUAGUUAUGGCACAGAAGGGAGACGGCCUCAUCACUGAAUUUAUAUUUGCACCGGAAACUGCCUGGCCCUCAGUGGAACAAUGAAGGGAAAUUUGGUUACACGUCUACCGCUCCGGGGUAAGUAGAAACAAAGAUGAGGUUGGAAAUAUUUUUCACAUGUGUGCUUUCUUGGGCCAUUCAGAGAAAAACAAGCUCUUGCACCAUCUGAAGGAAGCCAUCAUCCAGUUUACAAGUAGUGAUGGAGUCUUGGCUGUGGUCAGAACAUCUGGAGGACUUGGGUCGGGCUUUUGCAGGGCCCUAGGGUGGGGUGAGGUCCCUUUUGUUGUGGAGCUGACUUGUAGCAAGGGAGACAGGGCAGAGAAAAGGGGCCUAGGGACAACACUCAUAGAGGCCUGGGCUGCUGGAAUUCUGCAGGUGGGAUGCUGGGAUACACAGGCUCUUAACAGAUUGAAAUGCAAUCUCCCUUGCGUGUCCUGAUUCUCUGCCCUUCUCUCCCUGCCAUUUCCUUGCCCAGCUGGGGAGCACUAAGGAAUGCAUCGCUGUGCCUGACACACCCUACCUGCCCGAUGGCUGAUUAUCUCCUGCAAACACACACCAGCAGCAGCCUCUUGGCUAGGAAGCCCUUUUGCACCUCACGGCUGCUUUUUGGAACAAGAGCACGCUUGGUGUUUGAUGCCUUUGUAGGAAGUGGGAAGCACUGCCCAGAGGGAUGAAGGGGUAAAGUGGAAAUGCAGGGCUUGGCUUCAGAGUGGAGCACAUGCAGGCUGAGAGCAGUUCUGCUGCCUGAGCAAAGUUAGGCUCAGGGCAGAGAGGGCGAGAACCCAGGAAGGAGCGAGGUAGGAAGGAGGGAGCCGGCACUUGCUAAUCUGAAGUUAAUUUUGAAUUGCCUUGAAAAUCACCAUGCACCAUCCAGCUCUGCCUUUGAUGGUGGAAAUAAAGCAGCUGCUUUUUCUUCCUCUUCAGGGCUGUCUUCCCCCCAGCGGUGCAGCAAAUUAGGCAGAGCAGCAGUGGAAGUUGCAGUGGGUGUAAUUUCUCAGGAAAAGGUCAGGCUAAUUGUUGGUUAGUAGCUAGUAGUGGUGGGGUGCACUAUGGGGGGGGGCUGCUCCUGCCUGCUCUAUCCUGCCCCUCAAUAAUGCUGCCUGGCAUCUUCAAAGACAACCACCAAGGACUUUGUUUCAAGCUGAGGCCCACUGCCAGCCUUUCACCAGCCUGCCUGUAGCACGUCACAUUCCUGGAGGCAGUGGGGGAGAGAGCUGGGAAGCUGGGAAGACACCAUCCCUUUGCCCUGGUACAACUUCCUGAGCAGCCCCUGACGCACCCUCUAAUUCCUGCAGCAACACCUUCCCUCUGGGAAGUUAGCAGUGCGGCUCCUGACCAGGGAAUACAGGCUUCCUCAUUUCCCCUUCUUUCUUUCCAUCUUCAAUUCAGUUACUAUCACAGAAGCUUCCUGGAAGGAUACCCAGUGCACGCAUCUCUAGAAAGCCUCCUGCGCAUCUUGGGUCAGAUAUAACCAGCAAUUCGGGGAGCUGAUCUUUGCCACUGGAGGCCCUCCUAGCAUGGUUUUGAGUGAGCAGCAAGGUGGCAAGAUGCCCAAGAAGGGGGUCAGGAGGUGCAUAGUCCUGUGAUGGAUGGAAAAACUGUCAUUUCAAAACUAAUGGUGGCUCCACUCUUGAGAGAUGCAAAUUUUAAUCUUUGCACAGACUUGGCCUCAUGCUAUGAGAGCUACUCAAAGGUCCACCAAGGGAGCUUGCUCCUGACUAGGGAGUGAUCCAAAGGCAGAUGACUGAGAUGAGAGAUGGCAGGUUACCUUGUUCCCGGUAGCUACAGUGGCGGCCUUAGCUCCUCCCUUUCCAUCCUCACCUCCCCCUUCCCUCCUGAUUUUUGAUCUUGCUUCAUUGCAUAAUCAGAUUGAUUUUGGAAACUCAGGAUUCUGUCCUGACUACUCCUAGGCUGGAAGUAUCUUUUUGUUCCCAAGGGCGAUACUCAGCUUGGCAAGUGGAGGUCUGGGAAGACCACUUAAUCCUGGCUCAGCCACCUGCAUUCUUGAUGGGACCAAUAUGAUCUUAGGUCCUUUGUAUAGUGACCGCCUGGUUGUGGUCACAGAUCAUCCAGGUCCUUGGUGGCCUAUAUAUGCCAACACAGGGACUGCUUGGGUUUCUGCAUGUUUGAUCAAGGAUCUCACUCCUGCCUCCCACACUAGUCUGAGUUGAGCGGGAGCUUGUGGGGACUGCUAGGUGUGCCACUCACUUCCCUUUGGCUCUUGGUUCCCAUCCCCUUGGCCCCAGCUCCCGCACUUCCCUUGGAAAAUGCCCAUCAGCAGGUGUCCGGAUGUCCCUUACCCCUAUUCUCACAGACUUUGCCCUGUCAUUCCUUGGGGCAAGCCAAUGUCACCUGAAUAGAGAUGUAGACAACAGACUGGGCUGGACAGAUGACCUUCAGGCAAACAAGGACUCCACCAGACUCAGUUAGCCAAGGGACAACCUUACAGCUUGUCACGAACCCAUUGAAAGGCCACAUUGAAGGGAAUAAUCCUGCUCUCCAAUGGAUGUGGGUCCCAUCUGGAGGUUCCUAACAAUUCUAAAUAAUAUUUUCUUUUUAGGGGCAACACAUGCACCCCUGAGAUAGUGCUUCUUAUGUGGAAGCCAGACAUGAAUUUGGCUUUUAUCUGAAGCCUUAGGUUUAAGUCAGUGACACUUGAGCUUUUAGAGCUAUAAAUGAUGCGAACAACUCACUGCAGGCCUUGUAAUGUAGGUUCACCACCAGAGGUUUAAGUCAACACCACUGGCAGAUCACAUAGUCCCCCAGAUGGGAGCUUCCUAGAUGGGUGAGGGCUCUACUUAUGUGUGCCUUUUGGAUGGUUUUCUCUAUCACGCAAGUCCUCCCAGUUAAAAGGAGGAUGAAGUUUGACCCUGAAGGCAGCUGAUCUCACUUCGACCCUCAGAAUAAUCUGAAUCUUUUUCCUUGCAGGCACGAUGGAACCUAGGUAGCCCCUAAUCCAUCCUCCUUUGCCUGGCUUCCUUCCUUGGUCAGAUGGAAAGAGGUGUCCAGGGGCAGAAGAUGGACUUUGCCUGGUUUCCCUGAGGGACUUUGAUUGUUUAUGGCAUCUGUUCACAUGGCUGGUCAGAGACUCUGGCAAGGUGUGGUUCCUAUCUUACCUUGCUGCUUAGAGUCCUGCUGGCAGCGGUCUUAAUUAAAUGUCAUAGGAGCCUAACAACACAUUUAGUCCCACCCUUGGCUGAUCCUAUUGGAGAGGAUCAAGGGAAAUACUUAAGGGAAAGUUGGCCAGAAGCUAAGAUUGUAAAAUGCAGGUUAAUAUCUUUGGGAAAUGAUUCUUCCUGGGGCUUGUGAGUUUCUGAAGAACAGGAGUAGUUUGGUCCAGACGAUCUUUUAUAGGAUGUUGUAUUGCAAACAACCUUAGCAGACAAUAUCUCCCGUGAAACCCAAGGGCAGGAGAGCCCACUAUUCACUUGAAAAUAUUUAUCACUAUGUA